UACGUAGGGGGCGAGCGUUGUCCGGAUUUAUUGGGCGUAAAGAGCGUGUAGGCGGUUCGGUAAGUCUGUCGUGAAAUCCUGAGGCUCAACCUCGGGCGUGCGAUGGAUACUGCCGGGCUAGAGGGUGGUAGAGGCGAGUGGAAUUCCCGGUGUAGCGGUGAAAUGCGUAGAUAUUGGGAAGAACACCUGAGGCGAAGGCGGGUUGCUGGGCCGACACUGACGCUGAGGCGCGAAAGCCAGGGGAGCAAACGGG
rnacentral:rRNA from 1 species